rnacentral:rRNA from 1 species
CCUGAAUGUUCGUGCAUGGAAUAAUAGAAGAGGAUCACGGUCCGAUUUUAUUGGUUUUGCUGACCGAGAUAAUGGUUAACAGAGACAAACGGGGCCAUUCGUAUUGCUACGUGAGAGGUGAAAUUCUUGGACCGUAGCAAGACGGACUACAGCGAAAGCAUUUGGCAAGAAUGUCUUCAUUAAUCAAGAACGAAAGUCAGAGGUUCGAAGGCGAUCAGAUACCGCCCUAGUUCUGACCGUAAACGAUGCCAACUAGCGAUCCGCCGGCGGAUUCAUUCGCCCUGGUGGGGAGCUUCCCGGAAACGAAAGUCUUCCGGUUCCGGGGGAAGUAUGGUUGCAAAGCUGAAACUUAAAGGAAUUGACGGAAGGGCACCACCAGGAGUGGAGCCUGCGGCUUAAUUUGACUCAACACGGGGAAACUCACCCGGCCCGGACACCGUAAGGAUUGACAGAUUGAUAGCUUUUUCAUGAUUCGGUGGAUGGUGGUGCAUGGCCGUUCUUAGUUCGUGGAGCGAUUUGUCUGGUUUAUUCCGAUAACGAGCGAGACUCUGGCCUACUAAAUAGUUGGCACAUUGCCACUGUGUGCCCAACUUCUUAGAGGGAUUUUCGGUGUUCAGCCGCACGAAAUUGAGCAAUAACAGGUCUGUGAUGCCCUUAGAUGUCCGGGGCUGCACGCGCGCUACACUGGCAAAAUCAGCGUGCUUGUCCUCCCCCGAAAGGGGUUGGUAAACCGAUGAAAAUUUGCCGUGAUUGGGAUCGGACAUUGCAAUUAUUGUCCGUGAACGAGGAAUCCCUUGUAAGGGCGAGUCAUCAACUCGUCCUGAAUACGUCCCUGCCCUUUGUACACACCGCCCGUCGCUGCCCGGGACUGAGCCAUUUCGAGAAAACCGGGGAUUGUUGGCCUGACGGCUCUCGGGUCGUCUAGCCGAUGAGAACCGGCUUAAUCGCACUGGUUUGAACCGGGCAAAAGUCGUAACAAGGUAGCUGUAGGUGAACCUGCUGCUG